rnacentral:rRNA from 1 species
UACAGGGGGUGCAAACGUUGCUCGGAAUCAUUGGGCGUAAAGCGCACGUAGGCGGUCUGUUAUGUCGGAUGUGAAAGCCCUUGGCUUAACUGAGGAAGUGCAUCCGAAACUGGCAGGCUAGAGUACUAAAGAGGGUCGCGGAAUUCCCGGUGUAGAGGUGAAAUUUGUAGAUAUCGGGAGGAACACCGGUGGCGAAGGCGGCGACCUGGGUAGAUACUGACGCUGAGGUGCGAAAGCGUGGGGAGCAAACAGG